rnacentral:rRNA from 1 species
UACGUAGGGUGCAAGCGUUGUCCGGAAUUAUUGGGCGUAAAGAGCUCGUAGGCGGUGUGUCACGUCGGCCGUGAAAACCUGGGGCUUAACUCUGGGCGUGCGGUCGAUACGGGCAUCACUAGAGUUCGGCAGGGGAGACUGGGAAUUCCUGGUGUAGCGGUGAAAUGCGCAGAUAUCAGGAGGAACACCGGUGGCGAAGGCGGGUCUCUGGGCCGAUGACUGACGCUGAGGAGCGAAAGCAUGGGUAGCGAACAGG